rnacentral:rRNA from 1 species
GUUGUAUGGUUAAGUGACUAAGCGUACACGGUGGAUGCCUUGGCAGUCAGAGGCGAUGAAGGACGUAGUAACUUGCGAUAAGCGUAGAUGAGGCAGUAACAGCCACUUGAGUCUACGAUUUCCGAAUGGGGAAACCCACUGGCAUAAGCCAGUAUCAUUGAGUGAAUACAUAGCUCAAUGAAGCGAACCGGGAGAACUGAAACAUCUAAGUACCCCGAGGAAAAGAAAUCAACCGAGAUUCCGAAAGUAGCGGCGAGCGAAAUUGGAUUAGCCCUUAAGCUUUACAUGUGUUAGACGAACGGUCUGGAAAGUCCGACGAUACAGGGUGAUAGUCCCGUAGUUGACGAUGCAUGUUCAGUGAAAUCGAGUAGGGCGGGACACGUGUUAUCCUGUCUGAAUAUGGGGGGACCAUCCUCCAAGGCUAAAUACUCCUGACUGACCGAUAGUGAACCAGUACCGUGAGGGAAAGGCGAAAAGAACCCCUGUGAGGGGAGUGAAAUAGAACCUGAAACCGUGUACGUACAAGCAGUAGGAGCACCUUCGUGGUGUGACUGCGUACCUUUUGUAUAAUGGGUCAGCGACUUAUAUUCAGUGGCAAGGUUAACCAUCUAGGGGAGCCGUAGGGAAACCGAGUCUUAACUGGGCGCCAUAGUCUCUGGAUAUAGACCCGAAACCGAGUGAUCUAGCCAUGGGCAGGUUGAAGGUUGAGUAACAUCAACUGGAGGACCGAACCGACUAAUGUUGAAAAAUUAGCGGAUGACUUGUGGCUAGGGGUGAAAGGCCAAUCAAACUCGGAGAUAGCUGGUUCUCCCCGAAAGCUAUUUAGGUAGCGCCUCGGACGAAUACUACUGGGGGUAGAGCACUGUUAAGGCUAGGGGGUCAUCCCGACUUACCAACCCUUUGCAAACUCCGAAUACCAGUAAGUACUAUCCGGGAGACACACGGCGGGUGCUAACGUCCGUCGUGGAGAGGGAAACAACCCAGACCGCCAGCUAAGGUCCCAAAUUACAGCUAAGUGGGAAACGAUGUGGGAAGGCUUAGACAGCUAGGAUGUUGGCUUAGAAGCAGCCAUCAUUUAAAGAAAGCGUAAUAGCUCACUAGUCGAGUCGGCCUGCGCGGAAGAUGUAACGGGGCUAAGUUGUAAACCGAAGCUGCGGCAAUGUUCUAUGAACAUUGGGUAGGGGAGCGUU